AUACGGAGGGUGCAAGCGUUACUCGGAAUCACUGGGCGUAAAGCGCGCGUAGGCGGCUUAUUAAGUCAGAUGUGAAAUCCCCGGGCUCAACCUGGGAACUGCAUCUGAUACUGGUAAGAUAGAGUUUUGGAGAGGGAAGUAGAAUUUCAGGUGUAGCGGUGAAAUGCAUAGAGAUCUGAAGGAAUACCAGUGGCGAAGGCGACUUCCUGGCCAAAAACUGACGCUGAGGUGCGAAAGCGUGGGUAGCAAACGGGAUUAGAAACCCCAGUAGUCC
rnacentral:rRNA from 1 species